rnacentral:rRNA from 1 species
CGGGUUUAAAGAAAAACCCCCUUCUAACUCGAAGGAAUUGACGGGGGCCCGCACAAGCGGUGGAGCAUGUGGUUUAAUUCGACGCAACGCGCAGAACCUUACCAGCCCUUGACAUGUCCAUGACCGGUCGCAGAGAUGUGACCUUCUCUUCGGAGCAUGGAGCACAGGUGCUGCAUGGCUGUCGUCAGCUCGUGUCGUGAGAUGUUGGGUUAAGUCCCGCAACGAGCGCAACCCUCGCCCUUAGUUGCCAUCAUUUAGUUGGGCACUCUAAGGGGACUGCCGGUGAUAAGCCGAGAGGAAGGUGGGGAUGACGUCAAGUCCUCAUGGCCCUUACGGGCUGGGCUACACACGUGCUACAAUGGCGGUGACAAUGAGACGCAAAGGAGCAAUCCCUAGCAAAUCUCAAAAAA